rnacentral:lncRNA from 1 species
CAGAGACCAAGGAUCCGACACGAGUCCAACCCCAUCUAAAGAAAUGCUUUGAAGGCAUUGCCACUUUGAAAUUCAAUGAGAAUUUGGAUGUGUUAACAAUGAGGUCAUCUGAGAAGGAGGAGAUUGAAUUAUUGGAGGAGAUUUCCACAGCAAAGGCGAGAGGACAAGUUGAGAAAUGGUUGCU